rnacentral:tRNA from 1 species
GCCGCGAUCGUCUAGUGGUUAGGAACCCUGCGUUGUGGCCGCAGUAACCCAGGUUCAAAUCCUGGUCACGGCA